rnacentral:rRNA from 1 species
AUUGAACGCUGGCGGAAUGCUUUACACAUGCAAGUCGAACGGCAGCACGGACUUCGGUCUGGUGGCGAGUGGCGAACGGGUGAGUAAUACAUCGGAACGUGCCCAGUCGUGGGGGAUAACGUAGCGAAAGCUACGCUAAUACCGCAUACGAUCUAAGGAUGAAAGCGCGGGAUCGCAAGACCUCGCGCGAUUGGAGCGGCCGAUGGCAGAUUAGGUAGUUGGUAGGGUAAAGGCCUAUCAAGCCGACGAUCUGUAGCUGGUCUGAGAGGAUGAUCAGACACACUGGGACUGAGACACGGCCCAGACUCCUACGGGAGGCAGCAGUGGGGAAUUUUGGACAAUGGACGCAAGUCUGAUCCAGCCAUUCCGCGUGCAGGAUGAAGGCCCUCGGGUUGUAAACUGCUUUUGUACAGAACGAAAAGGCUCUGGUUAAUACCUGGGGCUCAUGACGGUACUGUAAGAAUAAGCACCGGCUAACUACGUGCCAGCAGCCGCAGUAA